AUAUAUCCUGUUUUAACAUUCUAAACUCAUUUCAUGUAACACUAUUUAUAUUCGAUCUCAAUCCUCUGAGCAAAAGGUUGGCGUAGAAAACCGUCUUGGGCACGCUAGUCGAAUCUCUUGCGGUUUUACCAGAGGCGGUUCAAGAGAAACAAUUUAUUAUUGGUCGAUGAAGGAUUUGUGAAGAAACGAGAUUGGAGUUAUCUAAUUUGUGAAUGGUCUCGGAUCCAUGCAUAAUUAUUGUUGACACAUCGCGGGUAAACUCCUUAUGGAAGUCAAUGGUUCGGUCCUUAAUACUCAGAAAUGGAUGAUAGUCAAGCAAGUAAAUUGGUGUGAAUGUUCCAGCUAGAGUAUGUAACAUGUAGGAUUAUUAUAAAAGAGUUUUGAGUGUAAAAUGGAGAAUUCUUUACUGUUUAUUAUCUGGAUUUUAAUGCAAUUGUUUUUGGUUGGCGUUCAUGGUAGAACUAGUAAUAAAGUUCAGUGUGAUCCAACUGUAAACAAUUCCUGUCCAAAGGGUUAUUGCUGUGUUAAAGAGGUUUAUGUAUCAAUGGAUGUAACUAAACCAGCUAAUGGUUUUACAGUAUGCCAUCGUAGAUUACAGAAAGAUGAGUUCUGUCUACAUAAAGCUGAAGGUUUCCUAUGUCAGUGUGAUGAAGGACUUACGUGUGUAUCACAAGAUGUUGAAAAUAACUUUGGACAUUGUCAACGCAAGUAAAAAUGACAAUAACUGUAUCACACAUUAUAGAUUUACUGGUGUUUCAGUAAACAUUUAAAUAUGGACAAAAACAACCAGAUUCAGAUAACCAGGCCAGUAGUUAGCCCAAAAUUGUUGGGGGGGGGGGGUAAAGGCUUAUGGGCGCACCGAUGCACCUACACUUGACGGUCCACGGGUUUAGGGUGCUCUGCCCCUAGAAAAUUUUGUAGGAUAGGGUUUGAACCUGAAAAUGUCGUGGACGGCCACUAAUCUCGGCAUUAUGGGCACCCCUCCGGAAUGAGGCACCCCACAAAUCAUGCCGUUUUAGGCGCCCCAUUGAUCAAGUCGCGGGCGCCCAGCCAAUCUUACUCGGCAUUAUGUAAUAUGUGCAGCCCCACAAUCAUAUAUCGUUAUUAUGGGCGCCUCUCCGGGAUAAGGCACCCCACAGAUCAAGUCGUUUUGGGCGCCCCGUCAGUUGUGGUGUUAAUCGUGUGAGUCAUUAUGAGGAUUUGGGGAGCGCCUCAUAUAUAACGAUAUGAUUGGCGAGGCGUCCAAGUGACAUUGGUUGCGCGCCCCGCCAAUCUCGUCGUGGGCGCCCAACUAAUGUCACGCGGCUUUAAGUGGCGCCCAUACUGAUAUGGGCACGUUGGUCGUUGGCUUCGUGUUGCGUCCAAUCAAAAGGGCGCCCCCCCCCCCAUCAGCUACGGGCCUGAUAACAUAACAUUGCCUUUUUAAAACAAUAAUAAUGAGACUUCAUGAUGAAAACAAUUUUUCGUGUGUAAAUUAUAGCACGUCAUAUUGAUUUUUGUUUUUUUUGUUUUUUUUUUUUUUACUUCCUAGUGUUCAGUGGUGUUAAUAAUUUCAUACAAAUCAUGAAGAUACCAUUUUUUGUAGAAUUAAAUAAAUGCUAUCAAUUUAUUCCUAUAACUACAUUUAGCUGUUCUGUUAUAUUGGUUUUUACUGCUGCUCUGGUUGCAGAAAUGCUAAUUUGAAAAGCUUUUUAUUUAUCUGAUCAAGCAUGGAUUCUAUACCUUUGGUUUCCUAAUUAGAAGUUUGUAUUCAACAGCCCUUAAUAUUCAUGAUUGUACCUAUCAUUACAAAGGUAAU